GUUGUUUUGCUACUCUCACUUUGGAGUUCGGAUGGUGUCUAGCAACGUUGGGUACCUCGUUUCUUGUGUGAGCGAGUGGUUGCUGUUUACGACGUGUUCAUAUAUCGAUUUGUAGUGCUGUAAUGUGCAAAUUAGCGGACUUUAUAGCGGCUCUCUAUUUUCCGUCGUUGUCUUUCGAGCAGCGCCUGUUGUUCCGGUAACAAUCGAGUUGAAUGAAUCGCCACAGCCCCAACGUAUAUCGCGCAGUGUUGACCAAGUCCAGCAGGAAUUCUGGCAUGGUAUGUGGCUGCACGGAGGAUUCCGAAAAAGAAAAACAACAACAUGGCUAAUAGGAUGUUGCUGCCCAGGGAGUCCUGGCCGAAGAGGUUUACUCAUUCCAGAAGCAAGAAUUGUACAAUUGUAAGGCGAAUGGAAAUAAACUGACAUCGACU